CAGAAAGACCCUAUGAAGCUUUACUGUAACCUGGAAUUGCUCUCAAGCUUAUCUUGCGCAGCUUAGGUGGGAGGCUAUGAACCUUUUCUUCCGGGAAGAGGGGAGCCAUCAGUGAGAUACCACUCUUGGUAAGCUAGAGCGCUCAGUCUUCACCGUUAUCCGGUAAGACGACAGUUUCAGGCGGGCAGUUUGACUGGGGCAGUCACCUCCCAAAAGGUAAUGGAGGUGUGCAAAGGUUCCCUCAGGCUGGACGGAAAUCAGCCAUAGAGUGUAAAAGCAAAAGGGAGCUUGACUGCGAGACUGACAUGUCAAGCAGAGACGAAAGUCGGCUUUAGUGAUCCGACGGUGCUGUGUGGAAAGGCCGUCGCUCAACGGAUAAAAGUUACUCUAGGGAUAACAGGCUGA
rnacentral:rRNA from 1 species